rnacentral:rRNA from 1 species
GACGAACCGUGCAAACGUUGUUCGGAAUCACUGGGCUUAAAGGGCGCGUAGGCGGGUUCCCAAGUCGGUGGUGAAAUCUUUCAGCCUAACUGGAAAAGUGCCGCCGAUACUGGGAGUCUUGAGGGAGGUAGGGGUCGAGGGAACUGGUGGUGGAGCGGUGAAAUGCGUAGAUAUCACUAGGAACGCCGGUGGCGAAAGCGCUCGACUGGACCUCUUCUGACGCUGAGGCGCGAAAGCCAGGGGAGCAAACGGG